CUAGCGACUUCAGAGUUUGAUCCUGGCUCAGGACGAACGCUGGCGGCGUGCUUAACACAUGCAAGUCGAGCGGGGACAGAUACUUCGGUAAAUGUUCUAGCGGCGGACGGGUGAGUAACGCGUGAGCAACCUUUCUCUCAGUGGGGAAUAACACAGGGAAACUUGUACUAAUACCGCAUGAGACCACAGAGCUGCAUGGCUUAGGGGUCAAAGAUUUAUCGCUGAGAGGUGGGCUCGCGUCUGAUUAGGUAGUUGGUGAGGUAACGGCCCACCAAGCCGACGAUCAGUAGCCGACCUGAGAGGGUGAUCGGCCACAUUGGGACUGAGACACGGCCCAA
rnacentral:rRNA from 1 species